rnacentral:rRNA from 1 species
CUAGGUGCAGCGGUGGAGUGCCGCGCCCUAGAUGGCGAGAGUCCAGUAGCCGCAGGCAUCACUAGCUUACGCUCUGACCCGAGUAGCAUGGAGCACGUGGAAUCCCGUGUCAAUCAGCAAGGACCACCUUGCAAGGCUAAAUACUCCUGGGUGACCGAUAGUGAAGUAGUACCGUGAGGGAAGGGUGAAAAGAACCCCCAUCGGGGAGUGAAAUAGAACAUGAAACCGUAAGCUCCCAAGCAGUGGGAGGAGACCAU